AUCUGGUUCAGGAUGAACGCUAGCUACAGGCUUAACACAUGCAAGUCGAGGGGCAUCAUGGAGAUUGCUUGCAAUCUUGAUGGCGACCGGCGCACGGGUGAGUAACGCGUAUCCAACCUGCCUGCAAGUAGGGAAUAGCCCGGAGAAAUUCGGAUUAAUGCCCUAUGUGGCCCUUAGAUGACAUCUGAAGAGGGUUAAAGAUUUAUCGCUUGCGGAUGGGGAUGCGUCCGAUUAGGCAGACGGCGGGGUAACGGCCCACCGUGCCAUCGAUCGGUAGGGUUCUGAGAGGAAGGUCCCCCACACUGGUACUGAGACACGGACCAGACUCCUACGGGAGGCAGCAGUGAGGAAUAUUGGUCAAUGGUCGUAAGACUGAACCAGCCAAGUAGCGUGCAGGAAGACGGCCCUACGGGUUGUAAACUGCUUUUAUAGGGGGAUAAUAUGCGGGACGUGUCCUGUAUUGCAGGUACCCUAUGAAUAAGGACCGGCUAAUUCCGUGCCAGCAGCAGC
rnacentral:rRNA from 1 species